GGAUGAAGAACUGCUUCUCUACAUUUCUCUAUAUUCCUUUGUCAUUUUCCAUUCUAGUUAUCUUUACUUUUUUGUGUUAUUGGUUUAGUCUUUAAAUUGAUGAUGUAUUCCUCAAAUACAUUCUCACUUUUGAGUUAAUUAUAAAGUCAAAUCAUUUCUUAUAGUACAUGAUUAAUUUCAUAAUAAAUAUAAUCACUUAUCUUUUUGUUACCUUA
rnacentral:lncRNA from 1 species